GACGAACGCUGGCGGCGUGCUUAACACAUGCAAGUCGAGCGGUAAGGCUCCUUCGGGUAGUACACGAGCGGCGAACGGGUGAGUAACACGUGAGCAAUCUGCCCAUCACAUCGGGAUAACUUCGGGAAACCGAAGCUAAUACCGAAUACAACCACUUCAGGCAUCUGACGGUGGUGGAAAUGUUCCGGCGGUGAUGGAUGAGCUCGCGGCCUAUCAGCUUGUUGGUGGGGUAAUGGCCUACCAAGGCUUCGACGGGUAGCCGGCCUGAGAGGGUGACCGGCCACACUGGGACUGAGACACGGCCCAGACUCCUACGGGAGGCAGCAGUGGGGAAUAUUGGACAAUGGGCGAAAGCCUGAUCCAGCAACGCCGCGUGA
rnacentral:rRNA from 1 species